AUACGUAGGGAGCGAGCGUUGUCCGGAAUCACUGGGUGCAAAGGGAGCGUAGGCGGGAGUGCGAGUCCGAUGUGAGAAACAUGGGCUCAACCCAUGGGCUGCAUUUGAAACUGCAUUUCUUGAGUGACGUAGAGGUAAGCGGAAUUCCUGGUGUAGAGGGGCAAUGCGUAGAUAUCAGGAGGAAAACCGGUGGCUAAGGCGGCUUACUGGGCUUUUACUGGCGCUGAGGCUCGAAAGCGUGGGGAGCAAACAGGAUUAGAUACCCUUGUAGUCCACGCUGUAAACGAUGAUUACUAGGUGUGGGGGGACUGACCCCUUCCGUGCCGCAGUUAACACAAUAAGUAAUCCACCUGGGGAGUACGGCCGCAAGGUUGAAACUCAAAUGAAUUGACGGGG
rnacentral:rRNA from 1 species